GUCCAAUGUGUUGAGUUCAGCUCUGGGCCUCUCCCCAGUUCCGGUAAUUAUUCAUUGGCACAGAAAUGGCAUAGUGGCUCGGAGUAGGAAGUAGACAUGCCCAGCCACUUGAUUCCACUCUAGCCAGCAUGUUAUGGAA
ensembl:snoRNA